UAGCAGCACGUAAAUAUUGGAGUGUGAACUCUGCGAUUCCAGUAUUUCGUGCUGCUGCU
rnacentral:pre_miRNA from 1 species